rnacentral:rRNA from 1 species
UGGGGAAUAUUGGACAAUGGGCGCAAGCCUGAUCCAGCCAUGCCGCGUGAGUGAUGAAGGCCCUCGGGUUGUAAAGCUCUUUCACCGGUGAAGAUAAUGACGGUAACCGGAGAAGAAGCCCCGGCCAACUUCGUGCCAGCAGCCGCGGUAAUACGAAGGGGGCUAGCGUUGUUCGGAUUUACUGGGCGUAAAGCGCACGUAGGCGGACUAUUAAGUCAGGGGUGAAAUCCCGGGGCUCAACCCCGGAACUGCCUUUGAUACUGGUGGGCGUGAGUUCGAGGGAGGUGAGUGGAAUUCCGAGUGUAGAGGUGAGAUUCGUAGAUAUUCGGGGGAAAACCAGUGGCGAAGGCGGCUCACUGGCUCGAUAAUGACGCUGAGGUGCGAAAACGUGGGGAGCAAACAGG